UAUUGCUUAAUGGGCGAAAGCCUGAAGCAGCAACGCCGCGUGUGCGAUGACGGCCUUCGGGUUGUAAAGCACUUUUAGGUGGGAAGAGGAAGGACGGUACCACCUGAAUAAGCCUCGGCUAACUACGUGCCAGCAGCCGCGGUAAAACGUAGGAGGCGAGCGUUAUCCGGAUUUACUGGGUGUAAAGCGCGCGCAGGCGGUUCGUUAAGUUGGAUGUGAAAGCUCCCGGCUCAACGGGGAGAGGUCGUACAAGACUGGCGGACUGGAGUGUGGUAAGGGAAGGUGGAAUUCCGGGUGUAGUGGUGAAAUGCGUAGAUAUCCGGAGGAACACCAGUGGCGAAGGCGGCCUUCUGGACCACGACUGACGCUCAGACGCGAAAGCUAGGGUAGCAAACGG
rnacentral:rRNA from 1 species